UAAAGGCUUGGUCCUGACUUUACUAUCAGCUUUAGCCUAACUUAUACAUGCAAGUAUCCGCACCCCUGUGAGAAUGCCCUCAAUCCCCUGUCCGAGGAAGAGGAGCAGGCAUCAGGCACAAACCACUUAGCCCAAAACGCCUUGCUAUGCCACACCCCCAAGGGAAUUCAGCAGUAAUAAACAUUAAGCCAUAAGUGUAAACUUGACUUAGUCAGGGCUACAUUGGGGCCGGUAAAAUUCGUGCCAGCCACCGCGGUUAUACGAAAGACCCUAGUUAAUAGACACGGCGUAAAGCGUGGUUAAGGAAAUAAAAAAUAAAGCUAAAGACCCUCUAAGCCGUCAUACGCACCCCGAGGCAUACGAAAACCAAACACGAAAGUAGCUUUAAAAAAGACACACCUGAAUCCACGAAAACUAAGAAACAAACUGGGAUUAGAUACCCCACUAUGCUUAGCCCUAAACCAAGAUAAUCAACUACAUACACAUCCGCCAGGGUACUACAAGCUACAGCUUAAAACCCAAAGGACUUGGCGGUGCCUCAGAUCCACCUAGAGGAGCCUGUUCUAGAACCGAUAAUCCCCGUUAAACCUCACCACUUCUUGUUCCCGCCGCCUAUAUACCGCCGCCGUCAGCUUACCCUGUAAAGGCACAACAGCAAGCAAAAUAGGUUCACCCAAAAACGUCAGGUCGAGGUGUAGCGUACGAGGUGGAUAGAAAUGGGCUACAUUUUCUACAACAGAACAUACGGAAGGCACCUUGAAACAUGUACCCAAAGGUGGAUUUAGUAGUAAAAAGCAAAUAGAGCGUUCUUUUGAAUUAGGCUCUGAGGCGCGCACACACCGCCCGUCACUCUCCCCCACACCCCCCCCCCCCAUCCAUAAUAACAUCAACCAACACCACGGGGAGGCAAGUCGUAACAUGGUAAGUGUACCGGAAGGUGUACUUGGAAUAAU
rnacentral:ncRNA from 1 species